rnacentral:rRNA from 1 species
CUACGAAAGGGGCUAGCGUUGUUCGGAAUUACUGGGCGUAAAGCGCACGUAGGCGGCAUUGUAAGUUGGGGGUGAAAUCCCGGAGCUCAACUCCGGAACUGCCUCCAAAACUACAAAGCUCGAGGAUGUGAGAGGAGAGUGGAAUUCCAAGUGUAGAGGUGAAAUUCGUAGAUAUUUGGAAGAACACCAGUGGCGAAGGCGACUCUCUGGCACAUUUCUGACGCUGAGGUGCGAAAGCGUGGGGAGCAAACAGGAUUAGAAACCCCAGUAGUCC